AACGAACGCUGGCGGCAUGCCUAACACAUGCAAGUCGAACGAUGCCUUCGGGCAUAGUGGCGCACAGGUGCGUAACGCGUGGGAAUCUGCCCUUGGCUUCGGAAUAACAGUUAGAAAUGACUGCUAAUACCGGAUGAUGUCCCCCUGAGAGAUCUUGGGGACCAAAGAUUUAUCGGCCAGGGAUGAGCCCGCGUAGGAUUAGGUAGUUGGUGGGGUAAAGGCCUAUCAAGCCGACGAUCCUUAGCUGGUCUGAGAGGAUGAUCAGCCACACUGGGACUGAGACACGGCCCAGACUCCUACGGGAGGCAGCAGUGGGGAAUACUGGACAAUGGGCGCAAGCCUGAUCCAGCAAUGCCGCGUGAGUGAUGAAGGCCUUCGGGUCGUAAAGCUCUUUUACCAGGGAUGAUAAUGACAGUACCUGGAGAAUAAGCUCCGGCUAACUUCGUGCCAGCAGCCGCAGUAAAAC
rnacentral:rRNA from 1 species